rnacentral:rRNA from 1 species
GACGAACCGUGCAAACGUUGUUCGGAAUCACUGGGCUUAAAGGGCGCGUAGGCGGGUCUCCAAGUCGGUGGUGAAAUCUUUCAGCUCAACUGGAAAAGUGCCGCCGAUACUGGGGAUCUCGAGGGAGGUAGGGGUCGAUGGAACUAAUGGUGGAGCGGUGAAAUGCGUAGAUAUCAGGAAGAACACCAAUGGCGAAAGCAGCUCUCUGGGACGGUACUGACGCUGAGACGCGAAAAGCGUGGGGAGCGAACAGG